CUCCUUUGAGCAUGACGUUAUUCGUUCCUGUCGGGCGUCCUCACAAAUUACCUGCAUUCAGAGAUUCAUACCGGCACAGGUCGGUAUGCGAAGUCCCUUUUGGGGCCUUAGCUCAGCUGGGAGAGCACCUGCUUUGCAAGCAGGGGGUCGUCGGUUCGAUCCCGACAGGCUCCACCAUAUUGAGUGAAAAGACUUCGGGUCUGUAGCUCAGGUGGUUAGAGCGCACCCCUGAUAAGGGUGAGGUCGGUAGUUCGAGUCUACCCAGACCCACCACUCUGAAUGUAGUGCACACUUAAGAAUUUAUAUGGAUCAGCGUUGAGGCUGAGACAUGUUCUUUUAUAACUUGUGACGUAGCGAGCGUUUGAGAUAUCUAUCUAAACGUGUCGUUGAGGCUAAGGCGGGGACUUCGAGUCCCUAAAUAAUUGAGUCGUAUGUUCGCGUUGGUGGCUUUGUACCCCACACAACACGGCAUGUAGCUCCGAGGCAACUUGGGGUUAUAUGGUCAAGCGAAUAAGCGCACACGGUGG
rnacentral:tRNA from 1 species